AAAAUUGUAUUUUUUCAAUUGCCUUCCCGACUCCUUUCAAAUCAAGAGUACGUCUUGUAGCAGUUUCAAAGGAAGUUCUAGAAGAUAUUUUGGACCUUGAUUUAUCUGUGUCAAAAACAGAUGAUUUUAUCCAGCUUGUAAGUGGCAAAAAGAUAGUGUUUGGAUCCAUUCCAUUGGCCCACCGAUACGGGGGCCACCAGUUUGGGAUAUGGGCAGAUCAG